GAUGAACGCUGGCGGCGUGCCUAAUACAUGCAAGUCGAGCGAACGGACGAGAAGCUUGCUUCUCUGAUGUUAGCGGCGGACGGGUGAGUAACACGUGGAUAACCUACCUAUAAGACUGGGAUAACUUCGGGAAACCGGAGCUAAUACCGGAUAAUAUUUUGAACCGCAUGGUUCAAAAGUGAAAGACGGUCUUGCUGUCACUUAUAGAUGGAUCCGCGCUGCAUUAGCUAGUUGGUAAGGUGACGGCUUACCAAGGCAACGAUGCAUAGCCGACCUGAGAGGGUGAUCGGCCACACUGGAACUGAGACACGGUCCAGACUCCUACGGGAGGCAGCAGUAGGGUAUCUUCCGCAAUGGGCGAAAGCCUGACGGAGCAACGCCGCGUGAGUGAUGAAGGUCUUCGGAUCGUAAAACUCUGUUAUUAGGGAAGAACAUAUGUGUAAGUAACUGUGCACAUCUUGACGGUACCUAAUCAGAAAGCCACGGCUAACUACGUG
rnacentral:rRNA from 1 species